GCGGCAAGUCGCGUGUCGUUUGUCGCACGCGCGGGCGCAGCGUAUCGUCGCACUGGGCUCUCUGCUCGUGUACCAGUUGCGUGCCGUUUCUACACCGUUACUUGGCGUCUCGCACUCGUCUUUGGAAUAGAAGGGCAGGGGCACCCCCUGCAGACCAAGCCGAGACAAAACAAAAGUCAUACACAAACGCAACUACAAUGGGGGCCCUGCAUUACUAUCAGGGAAUGGAGGAAUGGAACCUGCCUCAUACAGUUUGGUGGGAACCAGUCGGUUUCCUGCAGUGUUCAUCGCAUCCAUGAUGAGCACCUGAAGAAAGAAGACCUCAGUCACCAUCGAGCAGCACCUAAGUGAUGCAGCCUACAUGUGACAAAGACCGUCCUAUACUUCAUAUUUGGCACAGCACCGCAAACAAUUCUGGUACAUUCACAUAUACCGGCAAUAAAGCAAGUUCUGAUUCGGA